GGAGCGGCUGUCAGGCAAGCCUCGGCCCCGCCCCCGCCCGGGGAGCCGCCCCGCUGGACGCGGCGGCUGUGGGGGCUGCGGCGCCGGUGGAGGCGCGCCGAGUCGUGCGCCCCGCGAGCGAGCUGCAGCGGCCGCGGUGAGGAGCAGGCGCGACCCCCAGCGGCGCGCCCCGCCCCGGCGCCAUGCACUGCGAGGUGGCCGAGGCGCACUCAGACAAGAGGCCGAAGGAGGCCCCCGGCGCUCCGGGCCCCGGCCGGGGGCCCGCUGGCCUCGGCCCGCACAUGGCCUUCAGGGUCGCCGUGAGCGGCGGGGGCUGCGGGGAUGCGGGUCCGCGAGACCUGCUGCCCCGGCCUCCCGCACCACCGCGAGCCCACGACCUCCUGCGACCCCGGAGUCCCCGAGACUACGGCCCGUCCAAAGCCGCCGCCGCCGCGCCGGGAAGGUGAAUGGGAGCUACGGCCACUGCACUCCGGGCUCAGAGAAGAGCCUGCUGGACCUGGACCUUGCCGAAGGCCCUGGCCCCACCUGCCGCCAGGGCCUGUUUCUCCCUGCAGGAAGCCCACCACCCCGGGGUCACCCCCCAGCCUGUGAGAGGCUGCUGCAUUUCCCCCAUCCCAGCAGGUCACCCAGGUCCCAGGCCGCGUAUGUGAACGGCAGUCUCCCGGCCACACAGCACAUCAAGCAGGAGU
rnacentral:lncRNA from 9 species